rnacentral:rRNA from 1 species
GGGUCGGAACUUCGGUUCCGGCUUACGUGGCGCACGGGUGAGUAACACGUGGGAAUCUGCCCAUCUAUGGGGAAUAACUGCGGGAAACUGCAGCUAAUACCGCAUACGCCCUUCGGGGGAAAGGCUUCGGCCGUAGAUGGAUGAGCCCGCGUCCGAUUAGCUAGUUGGUGGGGUAAUGGCCUACCAAGGCGACGAUCGGUAGCUGGUCUGAGAGGAUGAUCAGCCACACUGGGACUGAGACACGGCCCAGACUCCUACGGGAGGCAGCAGUGGGGAAUAUUGGACAAUGGGCGAAAGCCUGAUCCAGCAAUGCCGCGUGAGUGAUGAAGGUCUUCGGAUUGUAAAGCUCUUUCGACGGGGAAGAUAAUGACGGUACCCGUAGAAGAAGCCCCGGCUAACUUCGUGCCAGCAGCCGCGGUAAUACGAAGGGGGCUAGCGUUGUUCGGAUUUACUGGGCGUAAAGCGUGCGUAGGCGGCUUAUCAAGUCAGAAGUGAAAGCCCGGGGCUCAACUCCGGAAUGGCUUUUGAGACUGGUAGGCUGGAGUUCGGGAGAGGGUAGUGGAAUUCCCAGUGUAGAGGUGAAAUUCGUAGAUAUUGGGAAGAACACCGGUGGCG